GACGAACGCUGGCGGCGCGCCUAACACAUGCAAGUCGAACGGAGCUGAGAGAAGCUUGCUUUUCUUAGCUUAGUGGCGAACGGGUGAGUAACGCGUGAGUAACCUGCCCUGGAGUGGGGGACAACAGUUGGAAACGACUGCUAAUACCGCAUAAGCCCACGAUCCGGCAUCGGAUUGAGGGAAAAGGAUUUAUUCGCUUCAGGAUGGACUCGCGUCCAAUUAGCUAGUUGGUGAGGUAACGGCCCACCAAGGCGACGAGUGGUAGCCGGACUGAGAGGUUGAACGGCCACAUUGGGACUGAGACACGGCCCAGACUCCUACGGGAGGCAGCAGUGGGGGAUAUUGCACAGUGGGGGAAACCCUGAUGCAGCGACGCCGCGUGGAGGAAGAAGGUUUUCGGAUUGUAAACUCCUGUCGUUAGGGACGAUAAUGACGGUACCGAACAAGAAAGCACCGGCUAAUUACGG
rnacentral:rRNA from 1 species